UUUUUUUUUUUUUUUUGGUUUCUGCUUUCUUUAGCACUGUUCUGCCUACAAAGCCAACCUCGACUGCUUGGUUCAUUGUAACACUCAUUUUAUUUUACAGAAUGUAGUGUUGCUCAAUUCUAGCAUCGCCAAUAAAAGCCAGUUUGAUCUUUAAAUCAUAUUUGCUGUUAUUAUUUUCUUGGCAGAUUCUGGUGGUUUUGGGGGACCCAAAAGACACAGCUGAUGUCCCUGGAGACCCCUUGACAAAUGCAGGGGAGAUGCCGCUGACAGCUUCGGAGGCCCCUCUUACCCUCACGGAGGCACAAGGUUGUCAGUUCCUCUCGGGUCACAUUUUUGCAUUGAUUCCCCUGAUCCUUUUGGCUCUUGAUUCCAGGAUUCAUUCGUCCUGUGAGAGAGAACAUGACCUGGGGGUUUGUGGGGGCUGACAAGUCACUGACAAGACGUGUAGUUUUAAAGGUAACUGAUGGAGGGAGCAGAUGAUCACAGGCAGUGUGUGACUCUGGUUUUGGGAAAUUUGCAGGGAUCUGGGUUCUCCAGUUUCUUUUGCUUGUAUGCUUCGGUAGGAGAGAUUCACUGGUUACGUUAGUCAAGAGAAGCUCAGAGUCAUAGCCAGGACUGACUGGUGGCUCCAGUUUGGGCACUCAGGAGCGAUUGGAGCACUCACCACCUAAAAAUAAGAUAUCUGUAUUAGGAUCAGCUGGUCAUGAAACAAGUUAAAUACCAUGUCACCGCCAGCCUCAAGACAGCAUCCAUGCAGCCACGGGGAGGACUCUGUGCAGCUGCUGACACUUUCUGUUGUAUGUGGAUGAAUAAGACAAACAGGCUGGUUAGUUAGAAUGGGUAGAUUCCUCAUCUGGCUCAUUCUUUGGUCUGUUCAAUUUCAGUUGGUUUAGCUCAUGGGAAGCCUGCCUAAGGGGCUGUUUUCAGAGCCCCCAGCCAACCUGAGAUUCUAGUACCAGAGUAUCUGGAAAGGCUGACCUAACUGGAAAUGGAGGGGAGCUGAUGGCAAGUUUUUCCAGCAUGCUUUCCAUAGGGUAAUUCUUGUGCCUGGCAGACAGCCUAAUAUCCAGUUGUCCAACCGACCAGUGAUCACGUGGCCCCUCAUAUGGGAAACUUGUUUACUCUGGCAGAUGUCCUUGUGCUUCUUGUCUGAUCUGUGUCCAGCUUAUGCCUGCCUGUGACCACCAUUCCGGCGCUUGGAGUUUGAAAUUCUCUCCAUCCCCCAGCAUCCCAGAUAAAGUCUGACCUUGGUUGCCAUUUGAUGUUCAGGUGAAAGGCACAACUUCAAAUCACCUCCACAACACAAAAUAAAUUCAAAGACUUGUUACUUACUGAUCCUGGGAAGAGAGAGUUCAAAGAGUUGGGAGGACAGUUCUCCAUUCCCUGAUCAUGUGAGGCAGGAACGAAGAGCCAAAUAAUCAGGCAGGCAGAGAGAGAGAGAGGAGAGAGAGAGAGAGAGAACAUACAAAUAUACAGGAAUAGGGAAUGGGUCAGGUAGGUUCACAGUCAAAAGUCUGAAUGGUCCUUUCAAAGAAAAGGAUUUUGAAGGAAAAGCGGGGAGAGAUGCCUCUAAAUUUUUAACUCUGCCCACAGGCUUGAGCCAGUUGAGUGUACUGUUCUACUUCAACUUCCUAGGCAGCAACCUCCGCUCUGCCAUUCCCAUUACAAGGGCAUACUCCAAACUAUGGGUAUUAUCCUCCUGACAGUCAUAAGAGUAGUCCCCCUGGUUCACUGCAUCCUCUCAAAAAGGCUUAUUAAUCUCCAUGCAGCCAUCUGCUGAAUGCCAUAUGGUCUGUCUGCAGCUGGAAUGAUGAAAGCUCCAAGAAACACAUGGUAACAAGGACACUGUAACAUAUGAAUGGCAUGUUAACUCCAUAAACCCAAAACUGAUGGUGACUAACUGUAGCAUUCAUGUCCUACGAUUUGGUCAUGACCCAAAGGAAAGGAGACUGUGAAACAAAAUUAAUGGGAGGCCAUUGUGCCAGGCUAGCUUCCUGAACUAGGCCCCGGAAGAUCAUAAAACCAGAAUGGGGUCACUCAUGCUAAGUGUCAUGAAAUGAAACUGAACUUUCACGGGGGCCAGUUAAAAAAUUUCAGAAGAUGCCAAUCAAUAUGACUCAGCAUAAUCAAGAGAUGCGCUCUGCUUGAACCCUAAAUGGAAAGGAACUUGGAAAUGAGCAAUCUGCUCUUUGCUUGCUGUUUCUGCUUUCUUCAGCACUUUUCUGUGUAGAAAGGCAAACUCCUCUGCACAGAUCAUUAGAAUGCCCAUUCUAAAUGAGUGAGGUUGCAGGUCCGAGGGUCUGACCUUGUGGGCCUAUUUCUGGUCCUCUGCUUCCUCACUGUGGAACCAGGGUCAUGGCUCAAUCCCACCAUUGCAAAGGUUAGCUCAUUACAGAGAUGGGCUCAUUCCUACCAACCACCCAAGGGAGGCUUGCACACAGAAAAUGACACAGACCAGCAGAGCACUUAGCACAGCAGCUGCCUGGCACCCAGUAAACCCUGAACCAAGCAGGGUG
ensembl:lncRNA